GAUGAACGCUGGCGGCGUGCCUAAUACAUGCAAGUCGAGCGAACGGACGAGAAGCUUGCUUCUCUGAUGUUAGCGGCGGACGGGUGAGUAACACGUGGAUAACCUACCUAUAAGACUGGGAUAACUUCGGGAAACCGGAGCUAAUACCGGAUGAUAUUUUGAACCGCAUGGUUCAAAAGUGAAAGACGGUCUUGCUGUCACUUAUAGAUGGAUCCGCGCUGCAUUAGCUAGUUGGUAAGGUAACGGCUUACCAAGGCAACGAUGCAUAGCCGACCUGAGAGGGUGAUCGGCCACACUGGAACUGAGACACGGUCCAGACUCCUACGGGAGGCAGCAGUAGGGAAUCUUCCGCAAUGGGCGAAAGCCUUACGGAGCAGCGCCGCGUGAGUGAUGAAGGUCUUCGGAUCGUAAAACUCUGUUAUUAGGGAAGAACAUAUGUGUAAGUAACUGUGCACAUCGUGACGGUACCUAAUCAGAAAGCCACGGCUAACUACGUG
rnacentral:rRNA from 1 species